rnacentral:lncRNA from 1 species
UAUAUAUAUAUAUAUUUUUUUUUUUUUUUCCAUCCUCCAUGAAGUCAGGGCUCUUGAAAAGGGCUUCAGCCACGGCCGGAGCAGUCGCGGACAGUGAAUGGUUGACAUCUGCACCUGGUUCGAGCUGUGUCUUGCCAUCUGAAACGUCCCCCCUGUUUGGUGGUACCCAAGAGGACCUGCAUUCGCUUGAUGGCCAAAUUACAGUGGCGUGUGUGCAGAAGGAAAUACCUGAACAAAACAUGUUUCCAGCUGACGUCUUCCCUGGGUGUUUCACAUUCCAACAGAGCAAAUGGGGCUGGAUGGAGCCUGGAAGCAGCCGUGGCUGAUGGAGGGAUCCAGCCUGAGGUUCAUCUCCCAGAGCCAUGUAAGGAGCCGGGGACGGUGGCAACCAGUAUGACUCCAGUCUCAGAGUUAACCACAACUGCUCCAGCCUUCACUGAAAGCACAAAAAUAUACAUCCAGCCAUGGAAAAUGUUUCUUCUUUGCUUUGUCCUCGCAAAUCUCCCUCUGGCUGUUGGACACAGCAAGUCUGGCAGGGACAGGGCUGUGCUGAGUCUUGUUACGCUCAGCUGGUGUCCUGGCCACCGAGAACCUGAAGGCUUUGACAGGUGGAGACAGCUGGAAGAUCUCCAGAUCCAGAAUCCCAGUUCAAGCCCAUAUAUGGGUCCUGCCCCAGCAGCCUCCUUUGGCACUGUGUCUGUGAGCUGUAACCCACCUAACAAGUGCUCCCUUCAUGGUCCAGCUCUAGGAGAAAUCCUUGUCACCUCUUCUGAGACACAACAUCCCCGUGGGACACGGCAGAGGCAUGGAAAUCUGUUUUCCCACUUGUGUUGAGGGAUUUGCAGAGUAAAACGCAGAACAUUUGGUGUCUCCUGUUCACCUUGAUUCAUGAACACCCUCCGAAGCCCCAGUUCCACGUUUGAUUUUUACAAGGGCAUGUAGUGAUAGGACAAAGGGUUGGUGGCUUCACACUGGAAGAAGGUCGAUUCAGAUCAGAUAUCAGGAAGAAAUUUUUCUUGGUCUUGGUGCUGGGAAAGUCUCCUGUGUUUGAUUCAUUCGGUGGUCACCAUAGGGAAUUGAGGAGGCAAAUGGGAGGCACCUUACAAAGAAGCAGGUUUGGAUCUCACGUGGAGAGAAGGAUAAAAGGGUGGGUGCAGCAGCGAGAAGAGGCUGAAAGAGCAGUGCCUGAGAGCUGCUGGUGGUUCAUGUUUCCAGUCUACUCUUGCUACGUUGGUGGAAAGCUCUUAACCCAACCUCAUUACCUCAAAAGAAAGGCAAACUGAUGUGUGCAGCAUCCAUGCGUCUGGAAAAGUCAUCGAUGUGGUCACCAAGGUCAUAAAAUUGGGUCUGCUGGGUCAGCACCAUCUCUGGGCAUGCAGAGAGCUGAACCAAUGUGGGGGCUACUGGGGGCUACUCACUGGUCUGGAGCAAGAGUCUGAUGAGCGAUGAGCAGCGGGAGGUAGGUGGGUAUCAGAUGUUGGGUAUGGAUGAAGACACCACAGUGCAGUAAAUUUAAGUGUCUUCAGUGGUGGUGGAAGUAUCUGUAGAUCAUCAGGAUCUUACACAACUCAUAUGUCUUCCAAAAUGAAACACCAGAUGUUUUCUACAUGCCCAUGGUGGGAAGAAUUGCCUGCUAGAAAUGGGGCUCUGUUGACGGUGGAGAAGAUGCACAAACCCUCUCCAACAUUACAAGGACAAGGACAGCUUUGGGAGCUGUGGAGUUUUUGUCCCAGGGGUCACUCCAGGAGAUCAAAUUCAUUGUUCGUUUGGGACAAAUGAAGUGAGAAGGGGCAAUUUUCUAGCCAAAAGAGAAUUCCGCAGCAC